CCUACGGGUGGCAGCAGUGAGGAAUAUUGGUCAAUGGGCGAGAGCCUGAACCAGCCAAAUCGCGUGAAGGAUGACGGCCCUACGGGUUGUAAACUUCUUUUGUCAGGGAGCAAUUGGGUCCACGCGUGGGCUUAGCGAGAGUACCUGAAGAAAAAGCAUCGGCUAACUCCGUGCAAGCAGCCGCGGUCAUCCGGAGGAUGCGAGCGUUAUCCGGAUUUAUUGGGUUUAAAGGGUGCGUAGGCGGAAUAUCAAGUCAGCGGUAAAAAUUCGGGGCUCAACCCCGUCGUGCCGUUGAAACUGAUGUGCCUGAGUGGGCUAGAAGUAUGCGGAAUGCGUGGUGUAGCGGUGAAAUGCAUAGAUAUCACGCAGAACUCCGAUUGCGAAGGCAGCAUACCGGCGCCCAACUGACGCUGAAGCACGAAAGCGUGGGUAUCGAACAGGAUUAGAUACCCGGGUAGUC
rnacentral:rRNA from 1 species